GUAGGUGGCAAGCGUUGUCCGGAAUUAUUGGGCGUAAAGCGCGCGCAGGCGGUUCUCUAAGUCUGAUGUGAAAGCCCACGGCUCAACCGUGGAGGGUCAUUGGAAACUGGAGAACUUGAGUACAGAAGAGGAAAGCGGAAUUCCACGUGUAGCGGUGAAAUGCGUAGAGAUGUGGAGGAACACCAGCGGCGAAGGCGGCUUUCUGGUCUGUAACUGACGCUGAGGCGCGAAAGCGUGGGGAGCAAACAGGGAUUAGAUACCCUGGUAGUCCACGCCGUAAACGAUGAGUGCUAAGUGUUAGGGGGGUUUCCGCCCCCUUAGUGCUGCAGCUAAUGCAUUAAGCACUCCGCCCUGGGAGUACGGCCGCAAGGCUG
rnacentral:rRNA from 1 species